CAGAGACUGCAAGCGUUAUUCGGAUUCACUGGGCGUAAAGGGUGCGCAGGCGGUUGGGUGUGUCAGAUGUGAAAUCCCGAGGCUUAACCUCGGAACUGCGUCUGAAACUACUCGACUAGAGUACUGGAGAGGGUAACGGAAUUCACGGUGUAGCAGUGAAAUGCGUAGAUAUCGUGAGGAACACCAGAGGCGAAGGCGGUUACCUGGACAGUUACUGACGCUCAGGCACGAAAGCAUGGGGAGCAAAAGGGAUUAGAUACCCCUGUAGUCCAUGCCCUAAACGGUGCACACUAGGUCUUAGCGGAUUCGACCCCACUAGGGCCCAAGCUAACGCGUUAAGUGUCGCCGCCUGAGGACUACGGUCGCAAGACUA
rnacentral:rRNA from 1 species